AGCAGCCGCGGUAAUUCCAGCUCCAAUAGCGUAUAUUAAAGUCGUUGCAGUUAAAAGCUCGUAGUUGAAUUUCGGGAUCAGUACGCUGGUCGUGCCUUCGGUAUGUACUGGUGUUACUGGUUCCUACCUUCUGACGAACCGUCAUGUCAUUAAUUUGGUGUGGCGGGGAAUCAGGACUGUUACUUUGAAAAAUUAGAGUGUUUAAAGCAGGCUCGCGCUUGAAUACAUUAGCAUGGAAUAAUGAAAUAGGACGUUCGAUCCUAUUUUGUUGGUUUCUAGGAUUGACGUAAUGAUUAAUAGGGAUAGUUGGGGGCAUUAGUAUUCAAUUGUCAGAGGUGAAAUUCUUGGAUUUAUUGAAGACUAACUACUGCGAAAGCAUUUGCCAAGGAUGUUUUCAUUAAUCAAGAACGAAAGUUAGGGAUCGAAGACGAUCAGAUACCGUCGUAGUCUUAACCAUAAACUAUAGCCGACUAGGGAUCGGGAUGAUUGUUAAUUUUUUAUGUACUCAUUCGGCGUCCUU
rnacentral:misc_RNA from 1 species